rnacentral:rRNA from 1 species
GCCAGCAGCCAUAUCACCCUGCAGCUCACCACUGGCAGCCCCACUGGAGCUCAGCAGGUGUGAGCCUGGUCAGUACCUGGAUGGGAGACCUCCUGGGAAAAAACUAAGGUUGCUGCUGGAA